rnacentral:lncRNA from 1 species
UUCUCUUAAAAAUACAGGAAAAAAAGAAGGAGUAAAUUAAACAGAAACAGAUUAAUGGACAAGAUUGAAGAACUUUAUUUUCUUAAUGACAUCUUUAAUGACUUUAUUGGAAGGAUGCAGAAAAAAUACAAAAAAAAUAAAAUUUAACUAUUAAAAUUCCUUUUUGAUUUCAUAUGUUGUGAUACUUUGCUUAUUUUGUACAUUUGAAAUUCUGUCAAAGUUUAUUUUUUGAGAAUUUUGUACUUACCCAAACAGAAACAUCAAAUUCAACUUUAAUACUUCAUCUAGCUGGACUAUAAGCACAAAGAAAUAAUCUGCAAGAUAUUGAAACCCAAAAAUCAAGGCACAUCAUUGGUAAUGGACACAGCUAUUUAUAAAAGGUUUCUAGCAGUGCUAACAAAUUCUGAAAGAAAAAUAACUUAUAUUUUAACAUGACAAUUUGGUUUAUUGAAUUAAAGAAAGAAAUUCUACAUUAUUCAAGUCUUGUUUCUAUUACUAAUCCAUAGAAAUGCUUAACUAAAAGAUUUAUUUGAUAGAUUUUGUGCUCAUGAUUGCAUGUUGCAUCAUGGGUAUUUUCCUUAAGUCACCAGUUUUUACAUUGUCUAAUUGAAAACAUUGUAUAUAUUUCUUGAAGGUUCAUUGGUAAAAUACAAUCAACCAUUAUUUUUGCAACAGCUCUUUAUUAACAACUGAUGCCUAAGAUUUUUAAAUGGCAUAAAAUUGGAAGUGAAUUGUAAUAAAGCAAUUAUUAAAAUCUUAUAUUUAUUUAUUUUUCAAUAUACAGAUAGUAAAGUAUAAAAAGCCAUGGAAUAUUGCCAUCUUCAGCAAGCUGAUAAAUUCAGUAUUAAUGAUUGUAGUAAAAAGACAAUUUAUAAAUGUUGAAAUCUGAGAAACACAAAACUGUAAAAGUUUUAAAAUACAGUAUUGAAAUAUACCAACAGUAAUUAGAAAUCUUAUGUGAUAGUUUAAGGAGUAAUCUGCUGGUCUUAGACUUAAUUUGAACCAAAUAUGUUGAAAAUUAUAACAUGCUUGAAGGUUAAAUUCAGAAUUAUGUAUUUUUUGGCUCAUUGAUUGAUUGCAAAAAUUUUAGGUUUCUUAGACUAGAUGGGUUUGAUUUUCAGAAUAGAUUUUUAAUUUGUAGUCGCACUUUUUCUUUUUACUGCUAUGAUUUGUAAAUGACAGCUAAAUAAAGUUUUUUUUUGUGAAUGGAAACUUUUUAAAG